rnacentral:sRNA from 1 species
UGAAGUACAUAAGUGUGCAGUGUGGCA